UGACAUCACUGUCAGAUGUGCUGGAACAAUUUUUAUAGUGGGGGUGCUGAAAGCCAUUGAAGCAAACUGUAAACCUUGUAUAUCAUGGAAACCAGUUCAAGCCAGGGAGUUCUGCAGCAUCCCAUGCACCUCUAAUUCCAGCAUC